rnacentral:lncRNA from 1 species
UGUACCUAUAACAACAGUCUGACUGGACAGGGAUCAAGUUGACUGUACAAGGAUCAACUUGACUGGACAGGGAUCAAAUCCACUGGACAAGGAUCAAAUCCACUGGACAAGGAUCAACUUGACUGGACAGGGAUCAACUUGACAUGACAAGGAUCAACUUGACUGAACAGGGAUCAACUUGACUGGACAGGGAUCAACUUGACUGAACAGGGAUCAACUUGACUGGACAAGGAUCAACUUGACUGGACAAGGAUCAACUUGACUGAACAAGGAUCAAAUCCACUGGACAAGGAUCAACUUCACUGGACAAGGAUCAACUCGACGUGA